ACACGACUACAUUAGAUACCCGUGUAGUCCCAGCCCUAAACGAUGCGCGUUAGGUGUAUCGGUGACCACGAGUCACCGAGGUGCCGAAGGGAAACCGUGAAACGUGCCGCCUGGGAAGUACGGUCGCAAGGCUGAAACUUAAGGAAUUGGCGGGGGAGCACCACAACGGGUGGAGCCUGCGGUUUAAUUGGACUCAACGCCGGGAAGCUCACCGGAUAAGACAGCGGAAUGAUUGCCGGGCUGAAGACCCUGCAUGACCAGCUG
rnacentral:rRNA from 1 species